GACGAACGCUGGCGGCGUGCUUAACACAUGCAAGUCGAACGGAAAGGCCCUGCUUGUGUGGGGUGCUCGAGUGGCGAACGGGUGAGUAACACGUGAGAAACCUGCUCUUGUCUUUGGUAUGACUUCAGGAAACUGGGGCUAAUACCGGAUAGGAGCUCCCGCUGCAUGGUGGGGGUUGGAAAGUUUCGGCGGUUGGGGAUGGACUCGCGGCUUAUCAGCUUGUUGGUGGGGUAGUGGCUUACCAAGGCUUUGACGGGUAGCCGGCCUGAGAGGGUGACCGGCCACAUUGGGACUGAGAGACGGCCCAGACUCCUACGGGAGGCAGCAGUGGGGAAUAUUGCACAAUGGGCGGAAGCCUGAUGCAGCGACGCCGCGUGCGGGAUGACGGCCUUCGGGUUGUAAACCGCUUUCGCCUGUGACGAAGCGUGAGUGACGGUAAUGGGAAAAGAAGCACCGGCUAACUACGUG
rnacentral:rRNA from 1 species